GAUGAACGCUGGCGGCGUGCCUAAUACAUGCAAGUAGAACGCUGAAGGAGGAGCUUGCUCUUCUGGAUGAGUUGCGAACGGGUGAGUAACGCGUAGGUAACCUGCCUGGUAGCGGGGGAUAACUAUUGGAAACGAUAGCUAAUACCGCAUGACAACAGUUAUUGCAUGAUAACUGUUUAAAAGGGGCAACUGCUCCACUACCAGAUGGACCUGCGUUGUAUUAGCUAGUUGGUGAGGUAACGGCUCACCAAGGCGACGAUACAUAGCCGACCUGAGAGGGGGAUCGGCCACACUGGGAGGGAGACACGGCACAGACGCAUACGGGAGGGAGCAGUAGGGAAACGGCGGCAAGGGACGGAAGACAGACCGAGCAACGCCGCGUGAGGGAAGAAGGUUGUCGGAUCGUAAAGCACUGUUGUAAGAGAAGAACGAGUGUGAGAGUGGAAAGUUCACACUGUGACGGUAUCGUACCAGAAAGGGACGGCUAACUACGUG
rnacentral:rRNA from 1 species